rnacentral:rRNA from 1 species
UACGUAGGGGGGCAAGCGUUUGUCCGGAAUCAUUGGGCGUAAAGAGCGUGUAGGCGGCCAAGCAGGUCCGCUGUGAAAACUCGAGGCUCAACCUCGAGACGUCGGUGGAAACCGUUUGGCUAGAGUCCGGAAGAGGAGAGUGGAAUUCCCGGUGUAGCGGUGAAAUGCGCAGAUAUCGGGAAGAACACCCGUGGCGAAGGCGGCUCUCUGGGACGGUACUGACGCUGAGACGCGAAAGCGUGGGGAGCGAACAGG